rnacentral:rRNA from 1 species
UAGUCCACACCGUAAACGAUGACAGCUAGUUGUUGGCAUGCAUGCAUGUCGGUGACGCAGCUAACGCUUUAAGCUGUCCGCCUGGGGAGUACGGCCGCAAGGUUAAAACUCAAAGAAAUUGACGGGGGCCCGCACAAGCGGUGGAGCAUGUUGUUUAAUUCGAUGCAACGCGAAGAACCUUACCUGGGCUUGACAUGUAAGUGGUACCAAACCGAAAGGGGCGGGACCCUCUAUGAGGGAGCUUACACAGGUAUUGCAUGGCUGUCGUCAGCUCGUGUCGUGAGAUGUUGGGUUAAGUCCCGCAACGAGCGCAACCCUUGUCUUUAGUUGCCAUCAUUAAGUUGGGCACUUUAAAGAGACUGCCGGUGACAAACCGGAGGAAGGUAAGGAUGACGUCAAGUCAGCAUGCCCCUUAUGCUCUGGGCUACACACGUGCUACAAUGGCCGUGACAAAGAGUUGCUACUUGUGAAAACAAGCUAAUCUCAUAAACGCGGCCUCAGUUCGGA